CCUACGGGAGGCAGCAGUGAGGAAUAUUGGUCAAUGGGCGCGAGCCUGAACCAGCCAAGUAGCGUGAAGGAUGACUGCCCUACGGGUUGUAAACUUCUUUUAUAAAGGAAUAAAGUGAGGCACGUGUGCCUUAUUGCAUGUACGGUAUGAAUAAGGAUCGGCUAACUCCGUGCCAGCAGCCGCGGUAAUACGGAGGAUCCGAGCGUUAUCCGGCUUUAUUGGGUUUAAAGGGAGCGUAGAUGGGUUGUUAAGUCAGUUGUGAAAGUUUGCGGCUCAACCGGAAAAUUGCAUUUGAUACGGGCAGUCUUGAGUCCACUUGAGGUAGGCGUAAUUC
rnacentral:rRNA from 1 species